rnacentral:lncRNA from 1 species
GGGCUAUAGGAAGGCAACCCACCGGGGCUGUUCUUUCCUGCUCUCCUGAAAUGAUUUUUGAGCACUAAUAGCUCUUUUCCACAGCUACAACCUCCCACCCGCCGCGUCUGCUUUGCGGAGAUAAGGCAGAGUCAUUCCUCCAGCUGGACCUGUGGUGCCUGGGGGGGUCUGGGAGAGCUGUCCCCGCCGGAGUGGGGCUGCCCGAGGGGGACAGACCCUCAGCCCGCCCCAGGGAGCGGCUCUCCGGGGAAGGAGCACUUGGGGCAGAAGCACCCCAGGCAGCGGGAGGGCGCCGGCUCGCUGCAGGCUCGCCCUCUACUUUUAGCUUCAUCCGAAACGAUUUGCAGCUCAAACGCCCCCCUGAGAGCCGCUAACCUUUGGAGGAGGAUUUGGCACCGUUAUCCUGCUCGGGUUCACGAGCUCGAGGAGCCCAGGAGCGACGCGGCUGCCUCCGUUCGUCCCUCCGUCCCUCCGUCCGUCCCGCACGGCGAUGGGGAGGGCAGCAGAGCCGCUGCUGCACAAAGUCUCGUUCUCGGAGCCCGUCCCGGCUCAGGCGAUGCCCGGGGGGGGUGUUUCCAACCGGGCAGCGAGGCAGCGGCUGCCGGGGUCGGGAUCGGGCUCGGCCUCCCACCGUUAGAACCGAGCAUGGGGUCACCGAGUGGUCGCAGAGGCACCCCCGGCACGUCAUCCCUCAGCUCGUGAACCCCGCGGACCUCGGCAGCCCUGAACUCCUCAGCAUCCCUCCGGCAUCACUGAAUACCCCCUCCGAACCCCCCCAGUUUCCCGUUUGCUUCGGUGUCAGCUGGUGCCUUGCCGGGUGCUGAGCCUCCAGCAAUAGGUAUCUUCCACGUCUUCGUUCACAAUGAACUUGGCUUGGGCUAAAUUGGGAAAAGAAAAAAAAAA